GGGUGUGAGGGUGAUCCGGCUGCGACAUCUGUCACCCCACUGAUCCCCAGGGUUGGCCUGGCUGGCUCGGCGGGUGUGCGCUUCCUCCCUGUCCCACGUGCAUCUCUCCGGUGAUCCACGCUGCGUUGUCAAAGAGGGCGACUGUUCCCGAUAGAGGAGGCUGUUGUUUGGUCAGGGGUAUACCCGUAGCUGUGCUCUCCUGCUGGGACCCCCACACAAACCCUCAAGGUCCAUUUGUGGAAAGGAGGGUAGUCAGACUCCCAAGGCUCCACAUGUCCCAAGGCACAUCCAAAUGACGUGCUGCGUGUGGCAAUCUGCCUUCCUUU
rnacentral:snRNA from 1 species